rnacentral:rRNA from 1 species
GAGUUUGAUCAUGGCUCAGAACAAACGUUGGCGGCGUGCCUGAUGCAUGCAAGUCGUACGGUUUGACGGUUCGCAAGGAUUGUCAGAGAGUGGCGAACGGCUGAGUAACGCGUAAGUUACUUAUCCUCAAGUGGGGAAUAACCUGCCGAAAGGCAAGCUAAUACCGCAUGUGCUGGUAGAUUAAGGUCUAUCAGUAAAGCUCUCGGGCGCUUGAGGAGAGGCUUGCGUCUGAUUAGCUAGUUGGUGGGGUAAUGGCCUACCAAGGCGAUGAUCAGUAGCUGGUCUGAGAGGACGACCAGCCAGACGGGGACUGAGAUACGGCCCUGACUCCUACGGGAGGCAGCAGCAAGGAAUUUUGCGCAAUGGGCGAAAGCCUGACGCAGCGACGCCGCGUGGGGGAUGAAGGCCCUCGGGUUGUAAACCCCUUUUCCCAGGGAAGAAUAAUGACGGUACCUGGGGAAUAAGUCUUGGCUAACUACGUGCCAGCAGCCGCGGUAAUACGUAGAAGGCAAACGUUGUUCGGAUUUACUGGGCGUAAAGCGGGUGCAGACGGCUCUUUAAGUCGGAUGUGAAAUCUCCCGACUCAAUCGGGAGAGGUCGUUCGAUACUGGGGAGCUUGAGGGCAGCAGGGGAAGGCGGAAUUCCCGGUGUAGCGGUGAUAUGCGUAGAUAUCGGGAGGAACACUAGUGGCGAAGGCGGCCUUCUGGGCUGAUCCUGACGUUCAAACCCGAAAGCGUGGGGAGCGAAACGGAUUAGAUACCCGUGUAGUCCACGCCCUAAACAUUGGACACUAGGUAUGGGGGGUAUCGACCCUCUCCGUGCCGAAGCUAACGCUUUAAGUGUCCCGCCUGGGGACUACGGCCACAAGGCUAAAACUCAAAGGAAUUGACGGGGGCCCGCACAAGCAGCGGAGCGUGUGGUUUAAUUCGAUGCUACACGAAGAACCUUACCAAGGCUUGACAUGCCACCAGUAGGAACUCGAAAGAGGGACCACCUGUAUCCAAUCAGGAUGUGGCACAGGUGCUGCAUGGCUGUCGUCAGCUCGUGCCGUGAGGUGUUAGGUUAAGUCCUGCAACGAGCGCAACCCUUGUCGCUAGUUAAUUUCUCUAGCGAGACUGCCCGUAAAACGAGGAGGAAGGUGAGGAUGACGUCAAGUCAGCACGGCCCUUACGCCUUGGGCUACACACACGCUACAAUGGAUGAUACAACGGGUUGCUAAGGAGCGAUCCGGCGCCAAUCCCCAAAAUCAUCCUCAGUUCAGAUUGCAGGCUGAAACUGCCUGCAUGAAGGCGGAGUUGCUAGUAACCGCAGGUCAGCAUACUGCGGUGAAUACGUUCUCGGGCCUUGUACACACCGCCCGUCACGUCAUGGAAGUCGGUAACACCUGAAGUCGAUGGGCUAACCUAACGGAGGCAGUCGCCGAAGGUGGGACCGGUAACUGGGACGAAGUCGUAACAAGGUAACCGUA